GGUUUGGGAUAAGCCUCUAAUGUUUUCCAUGGGCCACCCCUGCAAAAAAUAGUGCCCCCCCCCCCAUUUCAAAAGUUUAGCUAUGCCCCUGCUGCUCACAAGCUUCAGAUUUGUUUUUUAUGUGGUCAUUAAAAUAAUGACAUGUUGGUAAACCAGGUGGAAAUUCUGUGUUUGCCCCUUUUUCUCUUCACUCUCUCAGCCUUUUCUCUCUCUCUCUCUCUUUCUCUUUUUCUCUCUUUCACACACACACACACACACACACAGACACACACAGUCUCAGCAGUGUAAUAGUUUCCACAUGGUUUUUUGGUAUUUCAGAGCGCUCCGUCUGUCUGAUGAGAAAAAGACCAAAUUUAGAAGAAAUAUGAAAAUUGUCAAACUUUCUCUCUCUCUCUCCCUCUCCCUCUCUCUCUUUUCUUCCCUUUUCUUUUCCAGUCAUUCCCCUAUCCUUCUCCUUUAUCCCUUUUCUCUCCUCCUUUUUUCUCUCUUCACUUCCUCUUUCUCUCACUGUCUCCCCUCCUCCUCUUUUUGUUUAUCCUCUCUCUCUCCUCUCCCUCCAUCUUUUCUCAGACUCUACAGGUCAUCACUCCACUACUCUGACGUCAGCUAACAGUCCUCUCAAAGGGGCGUUCCCUGCUAAGGGCUCCGCCCCCCACUGACCAUACAAGGUAACAGAGGAAUGCAUGGCCUGGCAGCCCAUCAGCUUCAUAAGAGACACAGAGAGACAAGGAAAGAGGGAGACAGAGACAGAGGCAGGGGGAGAGAGUCUGAUGUGACAUCCAGGUCUUCAUAUUGAACUUCACUUUCAUGGAGUUCGUACAAACUUCAGACUUUCCUCAGCUCACAGUUCAGACAAAAUCCUAGACGUCUGGACAAGUUCAACUAUCAGAGACCCUGUCAGACCUGCAAAGACCCCAAUAGACCUGCAGAGACUCUGUCAGACCACUAAAGUCUGGGACUGGUUCAGGUUUAGGUGAGUCUGAUUUUGUGUUUUCAUGUUUUAGAAAUUUAAUUGUGUUUUCUUUAUUGUGUUCCUUCAGAGACUGUCUCUCUCCAUUUUUUAUUUUUAAUCUAAAUAUUUCUUCAACUGUUUUGAAUGUGAUGAUUCCAUGAAGAUAACGUUUGAUUUAAAAUAAUCUUUAAGUUUUUACCCUCAAGCUGGUGAACACAGACUGUUUGAAACACACUGGAGUGAACACACAUUAACAACUGAUAUAUAAUCAUGUGUCCACAAAAGGGCGCGCACACACACACACACACACACACACACACACACACACACACACACACACACACACACACACACACACACACACACACACACACACUUACUCAUGACCAGGGACCAGUAGAUCAAAAACAGGUAAAACCAGACAUCUCACCUCAUACAGGAGACCAGAAUUCAGGACCAGAAUUCAGGACAAGAACCAGACCGACAUAGAUCAGGACCACAGGGAUCAUGUUCCAGAACCUGCAGCAUCAUGGACCAGAACCAGAACCAUCAUAGGUUGGCUGAAGAACCUGCUGGGGGAGAGUCAGGCAGUGUGGAUGAAACAGAACAGGUAGAUAUCCACAUGUGCGUGCGCACACACACACACACACACACACACACACACACACACACACACACACACACACACACACUGAACUUGGCCAUAUUGCUAAAACUCUUGUACUGUUGGUAGAUUUAGCUGAAAUGUCCUCACAGUGAUGGUGAAAAAUUACCAUUAGUCAACAUGUAUGCACCCUGAUCUUUGUCUUUUAUUAGUUCCUGUUACUAGUUACUGUCAGUUCAUGUUCCUCUUGGUUCCUGAUGUUAUUUGCCAUUCAUUAAUUUUUUUUGUUUGUUUGUUUCUUCUUUAUUUGUUGGCUCCACUUGGUCCCUUUAGGUCUUUAGCAAAUUGCCUGUUAGGGCCUGUUGCAAUGAUGUUAUUUCCCAUUGGGUACUGUCAGUAAAUGUUGGGUCUCGUGUUUUAAAUGUUUUAAGUUUUUAGUUGGUUCCUGUUGUUUCUUGUUGGUCUUUUGUUAGUUCCUGGUGGUUACUGUCAGUUAAUGUUGUCCAUUUACUGAUUCCACUUGAUUUCAUGUGACUUUUCAUUGAAAUUGUUAAUUUAUUUUUGUUUGGAUUUUUUUUAUUGGUCAUCCCUUUUGGUCUUUUGUUAGUAACUGUUUCUGUUGGUGCUUGUUUAGUUCCUGUUGCUUACUGUUGGCCAGUGUUACUUUUUUGUUGGAUCCUCUUUGGUCUUUUUGGCAGGUAUUGAUAUCUAUUGAUCUAUUUUUCAUAUAUUUUGUUUUUAAGUUGAUUUCUGUUGGUUCCUUUCGGUCUGUGUUAGUUGUCAUUGGUUCCUUUUGGUCUUCUAUUUGUACCUGCUAGUUACUGUCACUUCAUGCUGUUUUUUCGACUGUUCCUCUUGGUUCCUAAAGAUACUUGCAUAGGUUCCUUUUGGUCAUUUGUCAGUAACUGUUGGUUCCUGUUGGUCUUUUUGAUGAUAACUCAGUAUAAGGUUUUUUUAUUGGCUCCUCUUGCAGUCAGUUCAUGUUGGGGUUUUCUGUGUAAGAUCCUUUUGGUUUCUGAUGGCAUAUAAUGAAUAUUGUUGGUUUAUAAUUUUCAUUUGCUGAGGUUUUUUGUUGGUAUUUUUCAUUUCCUGAUAGUUUCUGACAUUAAAAAGAUGUCUGAUAUUGUUUUCUUUUGGUUCCUGUUUGUUCUUUUUUAUCCUUUUGGUUUUUGGAUUUUUGUUUUAUCUUUUAUUUAUUCUCUUUUCCCUCUCUUGUCUUUAGUUGGAUCCUGUUGUUGAUUUUGCUUUGGUUAAAAUCAGUAAAUAUUGUAAUCCUUUUUUCUUAGUUCCCCUUGGUCCCUGUAAGUUGUUGUAUUUUUUGUUGGUGUUGAUUUCUGUUGGUGUCUGGCAGGUUCUUCUUUGUCCUGGUGGUUCCUGAAAGACCGAUGCAGUCUUUUAUUAGACUGCUUGAUGUUAUUAUUACUAUUAUUAUCAGUAUUAGUUUCUUCUGAUCCCUGAAUGUGUUUUGUGUAAUCCUGUUGGUCUUGUAGGUUCCUGGUAGUCUUUUGUAAGUGCCCUGUGAGUUAAUGUUUUUGUUAUUUUUUGGUUAGUUUCCAAUAGUUCUUGUCUGGUUUGUGCUUUUUGAUCAUUUCUGCCUUUAUUGGUUUCUGUUGCUUCAUGUGAAUUUUUUGUCCCCCUUGUUGGUUUUAGUGUUUUCUGUUGCCAGUUGUAGAUUUUUUUUGUCGGUUCUUGUCAGUUUGAUGUUAUUUUUUGUUGCUGUCUGUCUGUGUUGGUUUCUUGGAAUUUUCUUUUUUUCUUUUCGAGGUUAAUGAAGUGAUUCUUCAGAACAGGUGAGAUUGUUAUCUGUGUGGAGAAGGAAAUCAUGGUCAGAUGUUCUCUGAUAUAGACACCCCCAUCUCCAUCUUCAUACAUGAGAAACUAUUUGUGUUGUGUGUGUGUUGUGUAGGGGUGGCAGGAACAGGAAAUGCUGUAUUUGUUUUCUGAGCAGUAAGAAGUGUUCAGGGCAGCAGGUCAUCAGGACUUUCACAUGACCCCCAACACACUCUCACAAACACAGACCGGUCCUCCUUAGGGACUUCAGAGUACAGAUUCCCAGGCUCUGUUUCACAUGGGGGGAGGGGGGUCUCAUAUCCAGAUGAAGUCUGUUCACACACAGUUUUUAUUUGAAACAUGAAUCCAAACUGAUACCAGACAGCUGACAUUAAACCAUGACCAAUGUCUGAGAGGACCAAAACCUCACAAAGAGCUAAAGUCUGACUGUGUCUCAGACUACAUGGAUCGGGUCUUGUAGAUCUGAAAUUAUAGAUUAGGUUUAUAUGCCAUGUUUUUAAAUCAGGUUUUAAAAUUAGGUCCUGUAAAAUCAGGAUCUGUUAAUUACAGCCGAUUUUUAUUAAAUUAGGUCUGGUAUUAAGUUUUAGAUGCCAGGAUUUGUAAAUUAGGAAUUUUUAGUUUAGAUUUACGUUCCAUGUCUCAAGAUCAGGGUUCAUUUAUCAGGUUUUUCAUAUUAUCAUGUUUUCUUAUCAGGUUUUAGAUCAAGUAUGAUAGACAAGUUUCAAUAGAUUAGGUUUAAUUGAACAAGAGCUGGGUUUUUUUGGAUAAAGUUUUAAUGUUUACAUUUUAUAGAUCAGGUUUAUAUAUCAUAUUUAAAACCAGGUUUUGGGACCAGGUAGGGUAGACAAGGUCUUAUUAAAUUUGUAGGUUUUUUGGAUCAGGUUUGAAGAUCACAGUUGAAGUGCAGGACAAUAGAUCAGGUUUUGAAGGUUGGGUGUUAUAGAUCAGGUAUUGUUGAAUUGUUUUUAUCACAAGUUCAUUGUAUCAGGUUUACUAGAUCAGUAUUUUUAGAUGAGGUCUGUAUGUUUUGGUUUUGUGGUUCAGGGUUUGAAGAUCAGAUUUUAUUUAUAGUCUGUAAAUCUGGGUGUCAGAGAGAUGGGAUGUAGUUUUACAGGUAUGAGGGAUUCACUGGAGCUGCAGCUUCAUUCAGUGAGAUUUAUACCUUGACAAGAUAAUCAUAAACUCAUUCUCCAAACUUGCAGGGAGCAUUAAUAAAAUAGAGUUCCUGUAAUAUGAGAAGGAGGAGGAGUGAUGAAGGAGCUCACUCAGGAACGCUGAUGGUGAUGUUGGUGAUUAAGAUGGAAAUAAGGACCUAGUUCUAGCAGGUUCAGUCUCUUUAAACUGAAAGUGCAUUGACCUUUGACCCGCUCUCAUUCUCCUGAACCUUGUUAAUGUUGUGUGACUGUUCACAUGUUCACUCCUGCACUCAAAUAUCCUGAAUAUUUGUUUCCUUGUAUCCUUGAAUCCUCGUUUCCUAAGCUCCUGUUCCCGCUCCGUGUGACUCAAGGACCAGUGUGACCAUAUUUGGUGUCUGAUCUUAAUAAGUGAAGUUUAUGGAGAGUGAGUGUGUGUGUGUAUUAGUGUGUGUAUGUGUGUGUACUUCCUGUGUGUGAUUUGGGGAGCAGAGGGGAAAGAGAAAGACGACCAUAUAAGGAAAUGUUUGGCUCAACAGGAGAGAUGGCUCUGACUGUUAUCACAGCCUGUCUAAACACACACACAGAGUCACACACACACAGAGUCUCUCUCUCUCACACACACACACACACGGACUCACAGAUUUAUAGACUCUAACAGUAGACUGUUAAUCUAAAUGAAUGAAGUCAGGUAUAUUUCAGCUCUCAGUCAUUACAGACGCUGCUCGACUGUUUCCAGGCCAUCACAGACUGAUGACCCAGAACUCACUGAAUACUUCACCAACAAAAUCAGCCACAGUUCCUUUUUAACAACUCCCACUUCAUUUCCAACUAAUCUUAUCUACUAUCAGCAGGUCUUGUCUUGUGCUAAAAAUAGUUUUUGUCUCGCCUUUUAAACCUGAAAGAUGCAGAUUCUCCAGCCAUGAGCCUCAGAGCGGAGAAAAAUCCUCCAUGCUCCAUCACCUCUCAUCUGGACUACUGUACCUCACCUUCACACAAGAGGGUCAGUCAGUCCAUUAAUGUCUGCAGUAGGGGAAACCAGGGAGGGCUCUGCACAUGCUCAGUUUGACUCACUUCUGCAUGCUCAACAGGAGUAGGAUCACCUCCCCACAGCAGGAGUUUUAUGUUACUGGCUGUACAGUAAAUUGAAACUUACAUAAAUUCAAUCUAUAGGCUAUAAGUGAAGAAGAAAUUACGUGAUAUAUCCCUGCCAACAAUCUCACAUUUGAGAAUUUAUCAUACCUGCCAGGUCGAGGGCAAUUAUCACAGUUUUACAAAUGAAAUUAAUACCAUUAUUUAUUCUAAUUAGCUAUGAUUUCCAUUUUCUUUGCUGCUAUAUAUGACAUAAAAACAGAUCAGGCUGAUCCUUUCACCACAAAUAUACCCAGUAUUGCCUGCAUGGAAUCUUACCUACCGUGUUAUUCUGUCCACGUGUUUAUCUAGUUCCAUCACAGACUGUUCUUGACUCAUUUUUUGAUCAGUUUGUUGGAUUAAAAAACUAUUUCUAUUCAGUUUAAUUUAUCAAAACCUGGUAACCACUUAAGCAUUUACCUAGUUUUAUGCAAAAAUAGCUCUAUAUAUAGAUAAAAUAUACAAAUAUAUAUGUAUACUGGCCGCUCCAAGCCCCCACCCACCCAGAGACGGGGCUUCAAUCAGCUGUGUUUUGCUGUUUGCUGUGUUUCAUUUCUGUCUGUCUUCUUAAAAGUGCAGUGUGAAGAAACAAGUCAGGUUCUAGAUUAAAACUCUCCCUUACUCACUCACUCUUCCUGUCCACCCUUUCAUAUUUUCAGUGUUUUGUAUUAAUGCGGUUGUUCUUGUGUUUAUGAUAUUAAGUCUGAAAACAGAACAGUACAAGGUAGUGACUUAUUGUAAAACCCGCUCACUUUGUGAGAUCGGCAGCUUUUAAAGGAUGAACUUUGUGUGUUUUUUAGUCUUACUGUGAGGAUCAGUGUAUUAUCAGUCAGAUUGUCCAGAUCCAGUCCCUCAGAAGGACAGGUAAUCUGUAACAAUUUGUGUGUUGAUUUUAGAGUUAUUCGUGCUGAAUAGAGUCAUUUUUGUCGUUAGCUGACUUUGCCACACAGAGACUGAACCCUUGUUUUGGUCAGUCGGCCAAUCAGAGGCUGUAUCUGUGAUCAGCUGUCUUCUACAGGUCCAGGGAGAAGCCAGAUGUCACAGCCUGCUCACAAUACAGAGAUGGCAAAGAUAAAAACACUUCACUUUAUUCUAGUAAGAGAACAUUUGUGUUCUUUCUGUGUCCCAAUACUUUGGUGCCUCAUGUACACACAAGAUCAUAACAUUAGCUUACCUUGUUUCAUUCAGUGUGUCCAUUUUAUUAUUAUAUUAUUAUAAAAAUGCUUUCUAUAAAACAGGUUGGGUCAUUAAAUGGUCUUUCCAUACAAUCUUGUCUUUAGCACUGGUGCUCAAGUGAAUACUGUCCACUCUGUCGAAACAUGGCAGCUUACAUGUAUGGGGACAUGCUCCUCUGUGAAUGUAGAUGGUUGUACUGGCUGACCCUUUCAGGGAGAUUAAAAAUCCUCUGACAGUUAAAGGCAUCAUUAGAAGUUUUUAACUGACAAAUAGACUGAACUGGUGCCGUUUAUGACCUUCAAAAGCAAAAGACACCAUCUGCAACAGGACUGAUAUUUUCUCUGUUGACAUUUUUAAUGCCUGAAACCACUGUGAGGGGUAAAGAUUUAGACCAGAUUGUUGACAGCCGCCUGAAAAAACAGCCUUUUUUGAUUUUUGCUAUGACAAACACUCACAGGGACAGAAACAUUUGACACAUUUUAACACUGCUAAAAGAAAGCAGGCUGCAUUUUUUCUGUCUGAAAACACUACUUUCUCACAUACCAGGAGAAGAGAUAAGAUGUUUGUUUGAAAAAGAACAUUAGAGCCAACACAAAUCAAAAGUUCCUCACAGCGGCUUUAAUAUGACCUGGUGGCUUUUAAAGAUUAUUUUAGCUUUGAUUUUGAUAGGACAGCUCCAGAGAGAAAGACAAGAAGUGUGACAUUUACCAUCACAUGAAUCUUCCUCUAUCUUCUCUUUAAACCCAGUUCAGUCUCAGCAGAUGACUGUCUGACAUAAGUCUGGUUCUGUUUGAGGUUUCUACCUGUUGAGGAAAGGUCGAGUGUUUGUCUCAUGGUAAAGAUGGGAAAAACGUUUCUUAUCUCACGUGAUGAGACUCAAUCUUACUCUAUCUGGUUGAAACAUAGACAGUCUAGACCUGCUCCUUCUGUACAUUGUGGAUAACAUGUUGCUAAUUGGUGCUGUUUAAAUAGACUGAUUGAUUGAUUCAUUCAUUCAUUCAUUGACACAUGACUAGAUCAAACCAUCUGUCUCUAUCAGGAUAGCAAGACUCUGUAGUCAAAGACUUCAGAGCACACAGAGUGAAUUAGACAUAUACCUCUGAUAUUAUUGGCAAGUUUUGGGCUGUAGGUGCUCCUGUGAGGGGUAUCAGGAAGUCUGAUCCAGCAUAAGAGGUGUGAUUUGGCACAUUUGGGUUGACUUGUAAGUCUUAAUCCAUAAUAAGAUAUUCUGGGGUGAAUAAAUAUAUAAAAUUCAUUCAAAUUAGGCGAAAGCAGUCUAUGAAUAUAUGUAAGACUCUGAGGUGAGUGACUUAAAAGCACAAAUUCUGCUGAUCUCUAUAAGUAUCAGUGAGUGAUUUUAGUCUACUAUCUUCUCUCUCUUUUUCUCAGUUAGAUAUCUUACAACUUAUCUUUUAUUUUGCUGCUCAUGUUGCUCAAAUGUCGCAUCUUUUUUUGCUGUUGAUGUCAUUAUUGUUCCGUUUUUAACUCAUUAAAACACUUCAAAUCACUUGGUAUAAUUGGAUAGAGCUCUGAUGAGUCCAGAAAUCAAAUGUACUACCACAGUAAAGAGGACAUGAACCUCAGGGCGUGCACGCUGAGCUAAACCAACAUCCACACUUAUCCCAGAUUUAAAGGAACAUUUCAACAAUUUAAAUCUAACUAAACACUUCAAUCCACACUCACACACGUGCACGCACACAUGCACACUCACACAGAGGCUGGGAGAGGUCAAGCCUGUUUGUUAGUGUACUUCCUGAUGUCAAGGAGAGUUACUAUUUGAGUGUGUGUGUAUGAGUAUGUGUAUGGUGGGGUAUAAGUGGGGGUGUAUUUCCUUAAUAAGGAGUUGUGUGUUGAGUCUCUGCUGAGGAGGAUGAUGAUGAUGAAGGUCUGCUCUCCUUUUAAAGCCUCAGUCCGUUCUGUGACUAUUAAAGGGAAUGUAUGCAGUGCAAGGGGGGGCUGGGGGGGCUGUCAGCCUAUCAGAGGCAGCGAUCUCAGACUGAAUGUUUAUCCCCAGAGCUCGUUUUUCCAUCAGCCCUCGAACACAUCAGACCUUAUAUGGACACAUUCCUC
rnacentral:lncRNA from 1 species